UACGGGGGGGGCAAGCGUUGUUCGGAAUUACUGGGCGUAAAGGGCGCGUAGGCGGUUGGAUAAGUCCGCUGUGAAAACCACGGGCUUAACUCGUGGCCUGCAGUUGAGACUGUCUGGCUUGAGUGUGGGAGAGGAGAGUGGAAUUCCUGGUGUAGCGGUGAAAUGCGUAGAUAUCAGGAGGAACACCGGUGGCGAAGGCGGCUCUCUGGACCACAACUGACGCUGAGGCGCGAAAGCUAGGGGAGCAAACAGG
rnacentral:rRNA from 1 species